AGUGAACGCUGGCGGUAGGCCUAACACAUGCAAGUCGAACGGCAGCACAGUAAGAGCUUGCUCUUACGGGUGGCGAGUGGCGGACGGGUGAGGAAUACAUCGGAAUCUACUUUUUCGUGGGGGAUAACGUAGGGCAACUUACGCUAAUACCGCAUACGAGAUACGGGUGAAAGCUGGGGAUCUUCGGACCUUGCGCGAUUGAAUGAGCCGGAGUCGGAUUAGCUAGUUGGGGGGGUAAAGGCCCACCAGGGCAACGAUCCGUAGCUGGUCGGGGAGGAGGAUCGGCCACACUGAAAGUGAGAAACGGCCCGACCUCCAACGGGAGGAGGAGGGGGGGAAUAUUGGAAAAUGGGGGAAAGCCUGAUCAAGCCAUACGGGGUGGGUGAAGAAGGCCUUCGGGUGGUAAAGCCCUUUUGUUGGGAAAGAAAAGCAGCAGGUUAAUACCCCGCGGUUCUGAGGGUACCAAAAGAAUAGGCACCGGCAAACUCCGU
rnacentral:rRNA from 1 species